GACGAACGCUGGCGGCGUGCUUAACACAUGCAAGUCGAACGGAAAGGCCCUGCUUUUGUGGGGUGCUCGAGUGGCGAACGGGUGAGUAACACGUGAGUAACCUGCCCUUGACUUUGGGAUAACUUCAGGAAACUGGGGCUAAUACCGGAUAGGAGCUCCUGCUGCAUGGUGGGGGUUGGAAAGUUUCGGCGGUGGGGGAUGGACUCGCGCCUUAUCAGCUUGUUGGUGGGGUAGUGGCUUACCAAGGCUUUGACGGGUAGCCGGCCUGAGAGGGUGACCGGCCACAUUGGGACUGAGAUACGGCCCAGACUCCUACGGGAGGCAGCAGUGGGGAAUAUUGCACAAUGGGCGGAAGCCUGAUGCAGAAACGCCGCGUGCGGGAUGACGGCCUUCGGGUUGUAAACCGCUUUCGCCUGUGACGAAGCGUGAGUGACGGUAAUGGGUAAAGAAGCACCGGCUAACUACGUG
rnacentral:rRNA from 1 species